rnacentral:rRNA from 1 species
GACCAAGGAGUCUAUCCUGUAUGCAAGUUGUAUGGUGUAAAACCAAUAAGCGUAAUGAAAGUAAGAGGUGUGAAAGUUGUAAAAGUGUCAACACCUGCCGAUCUAAAUUCUUUGAUGAAAGAUUCGAGUAUGAGCAUAUAGGGUGGGACCCGAAAGAUGGUGAACUAUGCCUGAAUAGGACGAAGCCAGGGGAAACUCUGGUGGAGGUUCGAGUGGAUUCUAACGUGCAAAUUGAUCUUUAAAUUUGGGUAUAGGGGCGAAAGACUAAUCGAACCAUCUAGUAGCUGGUUCAUUCCGAAAUUUCCCUCAGGAUAGCUGCAACUUAUGAAAUAGUUUUAUGAGGUAAAGCGAAUGAUUAGAGGUUUCUGGGAUGGAAUAUCCUGGACCUAUUCUCAAACUUUCAAUGGGUAAGAAAAGUGUGAUGUUUAAUUAAUCAUACUAUUUGAAUAUGAGUUGCAAGUGGGCCAUUCCGGGUAAGCUGGACUGGCAAUGCGGGAUCAACCGAACGCUAUGUUACGGCGCCAGAUUGUUCGCUCAGUUGGAUGUAAAAGGUGUUAGUUCAUCUAGACAGCAGGACGGUGGCCAUGGAAGUCGGAAUCCGCUAAGGAGUGUGUAACAACUCACCUGCCGAAUGAAGUAGCCCUGAAAAUGGAUGGCGCUUAAGCGAACAGCCUAUACAUAGCCAUUAUUGUUAGGAUUAUACAAUAAUGAGUAGGAAUGCGUGAUGAAUGUUGUGAAGUAUGAUGUGUGAACAUGUAUGGAACAUUCAUUAGUGCAGAUCUUGGUGGAAGUAGCAAAUAUUCAAAUGAGAUCUUUGAAGACUGAAGUGGAGAAAGGUUCCAUAGGAAUAGUGAUUAUCUAUGGGUUAGUCGAUCCUAAGAGAUAGGUGAAAUCCAUUGAAAAGUCAAUUUCGAUUGACAUUUAUCGAAAGGGAAUCAGGUUAAUAUUCCUGAACCAAAGAGAAGGGUAAACGGUAACGUAUAGGGGUCUCAAGACAUUGAUGUUAUUCCCAGGAAGAGUUUUCUUUUCUUGUUAACAAAUGGGCAGUGCUUGGAAUCGAUUCAGUCGGCGAUAAGCAUUGUUAUUUGGUAAAGUACUACUAUUUUGUGUAGUAUCUGGUGCAAUGACAUGAAUCCUUGAAAAUUGAGACUUUUGUUUUCCCGAAGCUUUGGUCGUACUAAUAACCGCAUCAGGUCUCCAAGGUGAAUAGCCUCUAGUUAAUAGAAUAAUGUAGAUAAGGGAAGUCGGCAAAUUAGAUCCGUAACUUCGGGAUAAGGAUUGGCUCUGAGGGCUAAGUGGGUUUAAGGUGUUAAUAGUAUAAGUUUGAUAUGGGAUUGAGUGUUUUGAGUUGCUUCGGUGAUUUGAAAUAUUUGGUUCUAAUGUCUUAGUUGUCUAUUUUCAUCUACCACUAUGAAUAGCUAACUCAGAACUGGUACGGACAAGGGGAAUCCGACUGUUUAAUUAAAACAAAGCAUUGUGAUGGUGUGAAAGAUAUGUUGACACAAUGUGAAUUCUGCCCAGUGCUCUGAAUGUGAAAGUGGCGUAAUUCAAGCAAGCGCGGGUAAACGGCGGGAGUAACUAUGACUCUCUUAAGGUAGCCAAAUGCCUCGUCAUCUAAUUAGUGACGCGCAUGAAUGGAUUAAUGAGAUUCCCACUGUCCCUAUCUACUAUCUAGCGAAACCACAGCCAAGGGAACGGGCUUGGAAAUAUCAGCGGGGAAAGAAGACCCUGUUGAGCUUGACUCUAGUUUAACAUUGUGAAAUGACUUUAGAGGUGUAGCAUAGGUGGGAGGAGGUAACUCCGAUCCUGAAAUACCACUACUCUGAAUGUUGUUUUACUUAUUCCAUGAAAGAGGAUACUUACUUAAUUGUAAGUGUUAUGAUGUAAACUUUGGUGACCUCUUUGGGAGACAUUGUUAGGUGGGGAGUUCGGCUGGGGCGGCACAUCUGUUAAAGAAUAACACAGGUGUCCUAAGAUGAGCUCAAUAAGAACAGAAAUCUUAUGUAGAACAAAAGGGUAAAAGCUCAUUUGAUUUUGCUUUUCAGUAUGAAUACAAACUAUAAAAGUAUGGCCUAUCGAUCCUUUACAUAAAGGGAGAUCCUUGGUAGAGGUGUCAGAAAAGUUACCACAGGGAUAACUGGCUUGUGGCAGCCAAGCGUUCAUAGCGACGUUGCUUUUUGAUUCUUCGAUGUCGGCUCUUCCUAUCAUUGCGAAGCAGAAUUCGCCAAGUGUUGGAUUGUUCACCCAUUAAUAGGGAACGUGAGCUGGGUUUAGACCGUCGUGAGAC